GCACAAGCGGUGGAGCAUGUGGUUUAAUUCGAUGCAACGCGAAGAACCUUACCUGGGCUUGACAUCCCGGGAAUCCCUUGGAAACAAGGGAGUGCCCUUCGGGGAACCUGGAGACAGGUGCUGCAUGGCUGUCGUCAGCUCGUGUCGUGAGAUGUAGGGUUAAGUCCCGCAACGAGCGCAACCCUUGUCUUUAGUUGCCAGCAUUCAGUUGGGCACUCUAGAGGGACUGCCGGUGUCAAACCGGAGGAAGGUGGGAUGACGUCAAGUCCUCAUGGCCUUUAUGUCUAGGGCUACACACGUACUACAAUGGCCGGUACAAAGGGCAGCCACUCAGCGAUGAGGCGCUAAUCCCAUAAAGCCGGUCUCAGUCCGGAUCGCAGUCUGCAACUCGACUGCGUGAAGUUGGAAUCGCUAGUAAUCGUAGAUCAGCAUGCUACGGUGAAUACGUUCCCGGGCCUU
rnacentral:rRNA from 1 species